UACAUGGGGUGCAAACGUUGCUCGGAAUCAUUGGGCGUAAAGCGCGCGUAGGCGGUUGCUUAAGUCGGAUGUGAAAGCCCUCGGCUUAACUGAGGAAGUGCAUCCGAAACUGAGCAGCUAGAGUACGAAAGAGGGUCGCGGAAUUCCCGGUGUAGAGGUGAAAUUCGUAGAUAUCUGGAGGAACACCGGUGGCGAAGGCGGCAUCCUGGACCAAUAUUGACGCUGAGGAGCGAAAGCCAGGGGAGCAAACGGG
rnacentral:rRNA from 1 species